rnacentral:rRNA from 1 species
GACAUAGGUCGCAAACGUUAUCCGGAAUUAUUGGGCGUAAAGGAUGCGUAGAUGGCGUGAUAAGUUAUCAGUGGCAAAUCGGGGCUCAACCUCGUGGAAGCUGAUAAUACUGUCAUGCUUGAGUACAGGAGAGGUUAACGGAACUCCAUGUGGAGCGGUAAAAUGCGCAGAUAUCAGGAGGAACACCAAUGGCGAAGGCAGCUCACUGGGACGGUAUUGACGCUGAGACGCGAAAGCGUGGGGAGCAAACAGG